GGCGGUUUGUCCGAGUGGUUAAGGAGUUGGACUUGAAAUCCAAUGGGCUCUGCCCGCGCAGGUUCGAACCCUGCAGCCGUCG
rfam:Eimeria tenella Houghton genomic scaffold, Eth_scaff3978